rnacentral:rRNA from 1 species
UACGAAGGGUGCAAGCGUUAAUCGGAAUUACUGGGCGUAAAGCGUGCGUAGGUGGUUGUUUAAGUCUGUCGUGAAAGCCCUGGGCUCAACCUGGGAAUGGCGAUGGAUACUGGGCGACUGGAGUGCGGUAGAGGAUGGCGGAAUUCCCGGUGUAGCGGUGAAAUGCGUAGAGAUCGGGAGGAACAUCCGUGGCGAAGGCGGCCAUCUGGACCAGCACUGACACUGAGGCACGAAAGCGUGGGGAGCAAACAGGAUUAGAAACCCGUGUAGUCC